rnacentral:sRNA from 1 species
CCCGGCAAUGAAUUGCCGGGCUAUUUUCAGGUGUCCCUCCGGGACA